rnacentral:rRNA from 1 species
GACAGAGGGUGCAAACGUUGCUCGGAAUUACUGGGCUUAAAGAGUUCGUAGGCGGCUUGGAAAGUGGGGUGUGAAAGCCCUCGGCUCAACCGAGGAAUUGCGCUCCAAACUGCCGAGCUUGAGGAAGCUAGAGGUGAGCAGAACUGAUGGUGGAGCGGUGAAAUGCGUUGAUAUCAUCAGGAAUACCGGAGGCGAAGGCGGCUCACUGGGACUUUUCUGACGCUGAGGAACGAAAGCUAGGGGAGCAAACGGG